rnacentral:misc_RNA from 1 species
AAAGUGCGAUAAGCAAUGCGAAUUGCAGAAUUCCGCGAAUCAUCAGAUCCUUGAACGCAACUGGCGCUAGGGGGCUCUCCUCCUAGCAUGUCUGUUUCAGUGUCUGAAAACAUCAUAAUCUAACUUAAUGUGGUUGAUGACGAAAAGAGAAAUUGGGAAUUUUAAUUCCUAAAUUAAACUUCUUCUUUCUCGAAAUCUCCCAUGAAAGAUGUACAUGCGGGUCUUUGGACUCCUCAUCGAAUUGGUCACUGUCUCCUCAGUGAUUUCGAUAGGAGGAAAACAAUUCAAUUACCUAAAUGCAUGUAGGAAUUUUUAUUCUAACUUCAAACUCUGCAUCUGAAAUCAGGCAAGAACACCCGCUGAACUUAA